AUCUACCUUUCGCAGAGGGAUAGCCCAGAGAAAUUUGGAUUAAUACCUCAUAGUAUAGCAGUUUCGCAUGAAACCACUAUUAAAGUCACAACGGUGAAAGAUGAGCAUGCGUCCCAUUAGCUAGAUGGGAAGGUAACGGCUUACCAUGGCAACGAUGGGUAGGGGUCCUGAGAGGGAGAUCCCCCACACUGGGACUGAGACACGGACCAGACUCCUACGGGAGGCAGCAGUGAGGAAUAUUGGACAAUGGGCGCAAGCCUGAUCCAGCCAUGCCGCGUGUAGGAUGACGGUCCUAUGGAUUGUAAACUGCUUUUGUACAGGAAGAAACACUCCCUCGUGAGGGAGCUUGACGGGACUGUAAGAAUAAGGAUCGGCUAACUCCGUGCCAGCAGCCGCGGUAAUACGGAGGAUCCAAGCGUUAUCCGGAAUCUUUGGGUUUAAAGGGUCCGUAUGCGGUUUAGUAAGUCAGUGGGGAAAGCCCAUCGCUCAACGGCGGAACGGCCAUUGAUACUGCUAAACUUGAAUUAUUAGGAAGUAACUAGAAUAUGU
rnacentral:rRNA from 1 species